rnacentral:tRNA from 1 species
UCUAUAAUAGCUUAAAAAAAGCCCUUAACUGUUAAUUAAAAAGAUACUUAAACCCAAGUUUACAGAG